UACGUAGGGUCCGAGCGUUGUCCGGAAUUACUGGGCGUAAAGAGCUCGUAGGUGGUUUGUCGCGUUGUUCGUGAAAACUCACAGCUCAACUGUGGGCGUGCGGGCGAUACGGGCAGACUAGAGUACUGCAGGGGAGACUGGGAAUUCCUGGUGUAGCGGUGGAAUGCGCAGAUAUCAGGAGGAACACCGGUGGCGAAGGCGGGUCUCUGGGCAGUAACUGACGCUGGAGGAGCGAAAGCGUGGGGAGCGAACAGG
rnacentral:rRNA from 1 species